UAUUGUACAGCGCCUUAUCCCGGGGCGCAGCAGCGCCCUUCCAGCAGCGCCCGGCUGGAGAGGAGGGAAACGGGGGGAUCUUCUACGCGCUGAACCCGAGCGGCCCGGCAGCAACCCGUGGUUUGGUAAGCUGUGGAUGUGAGCUAUAACCCAUGGCAGACCUCUCAGUUUUCAUGCCAUUAGACUCAUGGAAUGAUAUUUACGCUCCUCCGAAAAAUGACUUGAGAUCUGCUGAUGAAAAAUGCAAGUUAAAAGCUUUCCUCCAUCCACUUUGCCUACAUAGCCUGCUGUGUUCUUGAUCGGGUGACCAGACAGCAAGUGUGAAAAAUCGGGACAGGAACUGCAGCCAAUGGGAGCUGAAGAGGCAGUGUCUGUGGGCAGGGGCAGAGCUUGGAGACCCCUUCCCCUCCCCCCACCACCUAGGAGCUGCUGCCAGAGGGAUGUGCUGGUCGCUUUCAGGAGCUGCCCGAGGCUGUUUAUGGAGGUGGCUUUGGCUGGUAGGAACUUUGGACAGGUGACUUCAGCCCUGAGAACACUGCAAAGGGUUGUCCUCUCAUCAUCUCCACUGAAGGGAGGCUGAGAUCAAGGAGGAAGCAAAGACUGAGUGCAGUCUUGGAGGCUAAUGAGAUAAUAUAACUAACAUUUUCAUCUCAAGUGAGGUGUCAUUUCUCUCCUACUCCAGCCAGGUUCCUGUACAGCUAAAGGAAUUACCUAGUUUCUUUACUCUCAGCUAAAGGUGGGUGGUUUGUAAAAGUCAUCAGGUAUAAAAGAAAAUGAUAGUCCAAAGAUAUAUACAUUUGGGUUCAUUUUAUUUGCAGAAUCCUUAGUGUUAAACAAAAAGAUACUGAGCAAAAAUGUAUAAAAUAACCCUUCUCAAUCCCUAGUGUAGAGUUUCCUGGUUUGUCAUUUGUCUCUAACACCUAGGACACUGGUAUUACAGACUCUCCCAUGGGGUUUAGUUGGAGCAGAAUGAGGAGCCUUGUGAUCUGUAAUGUGGCAACAUAAAUCUCAGGUGGGCGGAACUCAGAUCUUUCUGCUCCCAAAGCAAGGACUACAGUUGCCUGAACUAAAAGAGAACCAGGGCAAAAAGAUAUGUUAAUUUCAAACAAAAUGGAGGCUCUUGAAGGACUAUAUUGACAUUAUGCAAACUAGCAGAUAUUAAAGCAGCAUUAAAAGCCAAGGAAAGAAAAAGAAUUAAGUUAAUCCCCUUUGCUGGAUGCAGCUAAAAUCAGCCCAUUCUAAAAGGGCUUUUAUUUCUGAUUCAUUAAGAUUCUUAUGGAGAGCAGAAGUCCCCAAGAACCACUGUUACAAGGAUGCAUUACAGAGAUUCUGAGACCUAAGGAGAUGGGGCCAAAGAUCCACACAGAUCCCUUUGCUCCACAGUUUGGAAGAACUAUACCUUCCUGAUCCCCAGUCUCCUCCCAGCUGAUGGAAAUAGGCAAGGAAAUCCCUAUUGAAGGGGAAUACUUGGAAAUUUCAGUUCCCUUCUUAUGGUUCCCCAUAAAUAGUCUUAUUUUCAUGCAGAUACUGGAUGCCCAGGACAAUGCAGGUUGCACAGAGCUGUUCAAAUAGUGAAAGGCAACAAAUCCAUCUCAACACUUUUCAACCUUUGAUUUGCAGG